AUGAAGAUGAAGAGAUGCAUCGUUCCUAGCAUCCUGCUGAUGUUUUCACUGGAGGCAGCGCUCCUCGUCGCCGGUCGCACCUCCGCCGCCGACGAAGUGGGCGCCAUUCUCCUGCCGAGCCAAGGCCAAGAGGAAGCAGCCAUGGCGGCGGCCAAGAAGAGGCCGUGGAAGUGCUGUGACCAGGCGGUGUGCACCAGGUCCAUCCCGCCGAUCUGCAGCUGCAUGGACCAGGUCUUCGACUGCCCCUCCACCUGCAAGUCCUGCGGGCCGUCCAUGGCUGACCCGUCCCGCCACGUCUGCCAAGACCGGUACGUCGGCGACCCCGGGCCCAUCUGCAGGCCGUGGGAGUGCUGCGACUCGCCUACCUGCACCAGGUCCAACCCGCCGACGUGCCGCUGCGGGGACGAGGUCGACAAGUGUGCUCCGACCUGCAAGACCUGCCUGCCGUCCAGGUCCCGCCCUUCCCGCCGCGUCUGCAUCGACAGCUACUUUGGGCCCUUCCCGCCCGCAUGCACGCCGUCAGAGGCUGUUGCCGCCGGCGGUAGCUAG
rnacentral:rRNA from 1 species